ensembl:snRNA U1 U1 spliceosomal RNA
AUACUUACCUGGCAGGUGAGAUACCAUCAUCACAAAGGUGGUUUUCCCAGGGCGAGGCGCACCCAUUGCACUCCGCGUGUGCUGACCCCUGCGAUUUCCUCAAAUGUGGGAAACUCGACUGCAUAAUUUGUGGUAGUGGGGGACUGCGUUCGCGCUAUCCCCUG